GGAAGACAAAUUAAUAGUACAAAACAGCAAAGAUUUACCCUUGUACAUUUUGCAUAAUGAAUUAACUAGAAUAAUCUGACAUAGAGAACUGUAGCCAGAAACCCCGAAACCAGACAAGCUACCUAUGAGCAGUCUCUAGGACUAACUCAGCUAUGUGGCAAAAUAGUGAGAAGACUUAUCUUUGGAGAUGAAAAUCCAACCGAGCCUGGUGAUAGCUAGUUGUCCAGGAUAGAAUUUUAGUUCUACCUAAAAUUUACUAAAAGAAACAAAAUAAUCCUAAUGUAAAUUUUAGAGUUAUUCAAAAGAGAUAUAGCUAUUUUGAUUCAGGAUACAAGCUUGGACUAGAGAGUAAGUAGUAAUAAUUUCAUAGUUGGCCUAAGAACAGCCAUCAAUUAAGAGAGUGUUAAAGCUCAACAACCACUUAUCUUAAAAAUACCAAAAAUAACUAACCACUUCCUAGAUAUAAUACUGGACUAAUCUAUAUAAAUAGAAGAAAUAAUGUUCAUAUAAGUAACAAGGACUAUUUCUCCUUGUACAAGCUUAUGUCAGAUCAGAUGCCCACUAAUAGUUGACAACCCAAUAAUUAAAUCCAUAAAUAAAUUCUUUAUUACAUUUAUUGUUAACCCAACACAGGUGUGCUGAAGAGAAAGAUUAAAAGAAGUAAAAGGAACUCGGCAAACACCAAACCCCACCUGUUUACCAAAAGCAUCAUCUCUAGCAUUACCAGUAUUAGAGGCACUGCCUGCCCAGUGACAAAUGGUAAACGACCGCGAUACUCUGACCGUGCAAAGGUAGCACAAUUAUUUGUUCCCUAAGUAGGGACUUGUAUGAACGGCCACACGAGGGUUAACUGUCUCCUACUUUUAAUCAGUGAAAUUGACCUUCUUGUGAAGAGGCGAGAAUAUAUCUAUAAGACGAGAAGACCCUAUGGAGCUUAAAUUAAUUAAUUCAACUAUAAUACCACUAGCCUACAAGGCAUAACUAAAUAUUGGAAUGAAUUAACAAUUUUGGUUGGGGUGAUCUCAGAGAAUAAAAUAACCUCCGAAUGAUAUUAUAAUCUAGACUUGACCAGUCAAAAUUUAUAAGUCACUUAUUGACCCAAUAUUUGAUCAACGGAACAAGUUACCCUACGGAUAACAGUGCAAUCCUAUUUUAGAGUCCCUUUAUCAAUAACAGGGUUUAUGACCUUGAUGUUGGAUCAGGACAUCCCAAUGGUGCAGCUGCUAUUAAAGGUUCCUUUGUUCAAUGAUUAAUGUCCUAUGUGAUCUGAGUUCAGACUGGAGCAAUCCAGGUCAAUUUCUAUCUAUAAACUAUUUCUCCCAG
rnacentral:rRNA from 1 species